AGUGAACGCUGGCGGUAGGCCUAACACAUGCAAGUCGAACGGCAGCACAGUAAGAGCUUGCUCUUACGGGUGGCGAGUGGCGGACGGGUGAGGAAUACAUCGGAAUCUACUUUUUCGUGGGGGAUAACGUAGGGAAACUUACGCUAAUACCGCAUACGACCUACGGGUGAAAGCAGGGGAUCUUCGGACCUUGCGCGAUUGAAUGAGCCGAUGUCGGAUUAGCUAGUUGGCGGGGUAAAGGCCCACCAAGGCGACGAUCUGUAGCUGGUCUGAGAGGAUGAUCAGCCACACUGGAACUGAGACACGGUCCAGACUCCUACGGGAGGCAGCAGUGGGGAAUAUUGGACAAUGGGCGCAAGCCUGGUCCAGCCAUACCGCGUGGGUGAAGAAGGCCUUCGGGUUGUAAAGCCCUUUUGUUGGGAAAGAAAAGCAGCAGGUUAAUACCCCGCUGUUCUGACGGUACCCAAAGAAUAAGCAUCGGCUAACUUCGUG
rnacentral:rRNA from 1 species